UUCAAGCUGUCAGCAAUGGCAAUGGAGCGGCUCAGGAUGGUGUGGACAGUGUUGAGAUCAGUCGGACUGGCGUCAAUCACUGGGAGGUAGCCAAUAUGUGUAGAUGGUGGUAGUACUGUGUCUUCCUUCAACAUUAUAUUAUACCCUGUCCAUCCAGGAAGGAUUUUGUGCUGGGCCUCAGGUACUUUCAGUAAAAAGAAUGCAGCAUCAAUUCUUCUACCGGUAGUUUGGGCAUAUCUGUAUUGGUCCUGAUGGAGAUCAAUCUUCAAUGCAAAGUUCUGUGGACCAGACCGCUUGCCUCUUGUGUAUGUUGAAAGAUUCAGUGGAGGAGGAUGAACCGACCGCUCUCGUGUUCUCUGUCUGGGUAAUGUGUCUGAUGAGCAAGGGCAGUAUCAUGCUCAAGGACCUGGGAAUUAGAUGAGCAGUGACCCAGACCAUUUAACAGCCCUAUAAGCUGUGCAGAGCCAGUCAUAUGCCGAACUGCCAUUGCAAGUGAGCACUGUUUAGGCAUGAGCCACCUUCCUCUGGUUGCCAGGGUAAUAAUGUCCUGACAAGUGGACACUAUCUUUCUGUUGUCCUCUGAAGUGACAUCAACACGUUCAUCUGAUGGUUGUGAUGACAUUCCUGAUAUCCAUGCAAUGAAGUUAAAAAGUUGGUGAGGCACUACACUCAUGCCAUUUUCCAGUGUGAGAUCACUUGCUGUUGGAGGCCAUGGUAGCUUUGGAUGAGGAGGAAGCAGAGGAGAAGGCAACUUCAUGCACAAUCUCGUCAGCUGACAGAUUGUCCACAUAUACAAGAUUUUUUGAAAAGCAAAUUCAGCUUUGACAGUCGAAGUACUUCGCGUUGUUUUAACAGCCUCUCCUCAAUGACUGUUUUGCAGAAGUGCUUGUAUCCAUUUUCAUAUAUGUUUGUUUCUGUUCUCUCAAUUUUGUUUGUGGUCAGAUACCGGGUAUAAUCUCGAUAGCAAGUGAAGUGAUACCGUGCUUCACUAGCCACCAAGUCCCUGUCUUGGAUAUGGAGAAGGAGAGACUCGUCCCUUUUCUCUUCAGCGGCGAGUAGCAAUUUCCCGGCAUGGAGUGUUUCACACUGUGUUAGCUUUUCUUUUACCCUUUUCCUGCUGUGUGACUGAACCUUGUACUUCUCAUGUUUGCAUAUAAUGCAUUGUACUGGAAGCAGGUGUGGGGCCCGCUUGGACGUGCAGGAAUCACGGGCGUAAGAUCUCAGAGCCCGUGUUUUAACUGGAGUUGCCUCACCUUCCUCUGCCUCUACCACUAAAAGUGCAAAACAAUAGAUUUAGGUUCUGCACCCUUCCCCACAUCACUGAUUAAAGAAAAAUGGUUUGUAACUUUCAGCAGGGUAUAUUGGUUCCACCUGUUCCCUUAACAAGGGUAAUAAACCUGUUUCACAGCUUUCAGGUGUCCGUCCUUGUUGAUGUUAAUGAGGCCAUAAUAGGAAGGGUUAAUUUUUGCAGGGUGUUUAUUUAUUUUUAUUAUAUUAGUGAUUAAAUAAAAAUAAAAAUGGCAUCAUUACUCCAUUCUUCAGUGUCACGUGACAUCCAGUCUAUCACAUGAUCAUUUAGAAAUCUUUUUUUUUUUAGUGUUGCAAACAAUUCUGCUGUCUAAUAUGUUUGAUGAAUAAAAGAUUAAAAAUAAAAAAAAUCUAAUAAUAUAAAUCUUAUUUAUCACUUUUUAUCAAUUGAACAUAUCCUUGCUGAAUAAAAGUAUUGAUUUUAUUUAAAAAAGAAAAAAAAUUACUGUCCAGUAGUGUAUAUUGUUACAAAAUAUUUUUAUAAAAAAAAAAAAGCAGCAACAGUUAUGUUUUUUUGUUUUGUUUUACUUUUUAUUCCUCAAAGUAUCCUAAAAAAGUAUCACAUUUUCUGAAAAAAUAUUAAGCAGAACUGUUUCCAACUUUGAUAAUGAAUCAUCAUUAGAAUGAUUUCUAAAGGAUUGUGUGAUAAUUAUCCUAAAAAUUCAGCUUUGCAUCACAAAAAUAAAUGAUAAUUUAAAGUAUAAUAAAUUGAAAAUCAAUUAUUUUAAUUGUAAUAAUAUAAUCACAAUCUUACAUUUUAGAUAAAGUAAAUGCAGGCUUGAUGAGCGAAGAAAUUCAUAAAAAAAAAAAAAAACAUGAAAAAUAGUACUGUUUCCAAACUUUUGACCUGUACUGUAUGUCCAAUACUGCACUGCCUGUCUAUACAUUAUAAUACCAACCUUCCUUUGCAGUUUCUUCAACUGAUACUGCCUUCUCUCUUCUCCUUUGUGCUCGUUUUAUCUUCGUUAUAUUUGUGAAAUGACUGUAGCACUCCCUGUGGUAGCCAGUGUUAGCUGGUUUGACUAACUGGUUUGUAGGUUCCUGGCUUUGCAACUUGUAUGCCUGUACUGCCUCUUCUGCAAUGAUACCUUCUAUGCCCUCAAGGUCUUUCCACAGAAACACUGAUUUAAUAAAUUUCUCCCAACUUAUGUCUGUGAAGGGAAUGGUGGGUCCACCACUUCCCUCAAAUAUAUGCAUACAGCACUUCAUGUUUUUUUUUUUUUUCAUUUCAUCCAAGUAAACAUGGGCGGGAAAAAAAGUUUUGUCUGUCUCAUUUUUUCAUGACGCUGUUUCCAAGCAAUACCAUUAUGUCAAAUGUGUUAAAUCAGAAGGGUGUAUUUAUUAAAGAUUACAAAGAAAUGACAGGAUAUCGUAUGACAAAAGGUGGUUACAUAAAAUAAAAACAAAUAUAAAUGUAUAACGUAACCUCUACAUUAUUAUUUUGUGUCAAACUGAAUAUGUAACAAAAUUAGGUAAAAUAGUUCUUAUCUUAAAUAGUACAAUCUUAAAUCCUGGGCGCGAAGAGCGCCAGUGCGUUCACAAACGCAUCACCGACACUUUCCACGCACGCUAUUGGCUGAAGGCAACAAAUACGUCAUGCAGGUCGGACCCCCGCACGUAGCUGCUUGGUCUAUUCGCCGGGAAAAUAACCUGGAGAAAAUUACCGAUAUUAUAGUAAUGUGCAAAGUGUUUGAGUGGCAACAAUUUUUAUUUGCUUUGUUGAAAAGCGUAUCGGUUACAUCUAAAAAACCGGGUUAUCCCUCGCCACAGAUCAUUUGAAAACACGAAAUCUCCCCUCGGCCCACCGUCUAAAAGAACAGAUGGAAAAACAGAGCUGAUGGUGUCAAAUCUGUUGCCUCUGCAAACGGCUUCAAGAUGUCCACCAUCUCCUUUAACUGAAUCCACUCCCUUGAUGUGAACAGCUCCUUAUGUCCAGACUUUUCCAGAACACAACUGAAUCUUGGAUGAUCGCAUUCAAUUACUGCUCGUACCUGUCUCAGUGUUGAGUUCCAUCUUGUGUUAACAGCAGCUGGAAUGCUUUUUUCUCCAAAUUCAGAUGGAAAGACUUCUUUGAAUGUUGUGCUUGUGUGAAGCAAUGAGCUGAUUUUGGACCAUUUUGAGAGAGCAUGUGAGAUCAUAUUUGCUUUUUUCAAACCAUCCCCCCACCACAAGCUGAAGCGUAUUGGCGAAACACUGAAGACACAGUUUUCUUCCCAUAGCAGCAUUAAGGGAUUGCUGCUCCUCUUGACUUAGGUCAUUCCAGAGCUGUGGAUCAUCAAGUUGGUGCUCAUCUUGCAUGUCUUUUUUGUGUUCAGUGGGGAAGCAAACAUUGAAGGCUCUUUUUAUGUUGGCUGCAUUAUCAUUUAUAAUGUAGUCUAAUUUAUCUUUAAUGUUAAAAGCAUCAUAAAUGGCCUUAAAUUGCUGAUUCUUUCACCGGUGUGUGGAGCUUUGAAACGGUUGCAGGCCAGUAAAUUCAACUUAAGCUUCAUCUUCUCAUCAGCUGCCUCAAUGAAGUGUACGGUUACUCCCCAAAAAAAUGUUUCUAUCGGACCAAAUAUCCACAUUUUGUGCGUUGCUCAACACAGUUUUUAGCUUCAUGCAUCACUCCACAGCAAGAUUUUCCACUUUUGAGGACAAUGUUCUGCGAUAUACUGUGGUGUACUUCUGGUGAACCUCUGAGAGAAAGUGCCGAAAACUCUUGUUUUCCACAAUAGACAGAGGUAGGUUGCAAUCAAUAACUAUAAGUCAGACAGUAUUGAAUUAGUGGGUGAAGGUGACCAGCACUGUACUGCCCAACAAAGGUUUCCAUGAACUGUGAGACUGAAGGAUGUUGUGGAUUAUUUGAUACGCUUCUGUUACUCUGAUAUUCUUCAAACCUGUGUAUGGUAAAGAUAAUACAAAGCAGAGAUUCUAUAAAUUAAAAUAUUCAGAAUAAAUACAUUUAAAAUAAAUCUGGACAUAUUUUUUUAAUAAAAACAUUUUAUGAUAUGUCAAUAUUAUAUGAUAUGAUAUUAUUGAACAUUUUAUAACAAAAA
ensembl:lncRNA